UGAAAAACCUUCAGUACUGCUGUUAAUU
rnacentral:piRNA from 1 species